UUAUUGAAGUUUUUUCUUUAGGUGGUUUUGAAACAUGCAUAUAUAAUACAUUAGGUUGAUUGGAAUCUAAGCUUCGGGUUAUCGUAUCAAGACAUAACACAAACUCAACAUUCU